AUCCGCACCGAUACCGACAGGGGUAGAUGAUGUGAUUGUUCUACGGCGCAUCGAAGAACUCUGGUUAAGGAACUCUGCAAACUAGCACCGUAAGUUCGCGAUAAGGUGUGCCGCAGCAAUGCGGUCUCAGCAAAGAGUCCCUCCCGACUGUUUACCAAAAACACAGCACUUUGCCAACUCGUAAGAGGAAGUAUAAGGUGUGACGCCUGCCCGGUGCUCGAAGGUUAAGAGGAUGCGUCAGUCGCAAGAUGAAGCGUUGAAUUGAAGCCCGAGUAAACGGCGGCCGUAACUAUAACGGUCCUAAGGUAGCGAAAUUCCUUGUCGGUUAAAUACCGACCUGCAUGAAUGGCGUAACGAGAUGGGAGCUGUCUCAACCAGAGAUUCAGUGAAAUUGUAGUGGAGGUGAAAAUUCCUCCUACCCGCGGCAAGACGGAAAGACCCCGUGGACCUUUACUACAACUUAGCACUGCUAAUGGGAAUAUCAUGCGCAGGAUAGGUGGGAGGCUUUGAAGUAAGGGCUUUGGCUCUUAUGGAGCCAUCCUUGAGAUACCACCCUUGAUGUUUCUGUUAGCUAACUGGCCUGUGUUAUCCACAGGCAGGACAAUGCUUGGUGGGUAUCCUGACU
rnacentral:rRNA from 1 species